ACAGCCCCGUACACAAAAAUGCACAUAUUGUGAGCUCGAUGAGUAGGGCGGGACACGUGGUAUCCUGUCUGAAUAUGGGGGGACCAUCCUCCAAGGCUAAAUACUCCUGACUGACCGAUAGUGAACCAGUACCGUGAGGGAAAGGCGAAAAGAACCCCGGCGAGGGGAGUGAAAAAGAACCUGAAACCGUGUACGUACAAGCAGUGGGAGCCUCUUUAUGGGGUGACUGCGUACCUUUUGUAUAAUGGGUCAGCGACUUAUAUUCUGUAGCAAGGUUAACCGAAUAGGGGAGCCGAAGGGAAACCGAGUCUUAACUGGGCGUUAAGUUGCAGGGUAUAGACCCGAAACCCGGUGAUCUAGCCAUGGGCAGGUUGAAGGUUGGGUAACACUAACUGGAGGACCGAACCGACUAAUGUUGAAAAAUUAGCGGAUGACUUGUGGCUGGGGGUGAAAGGCCAAUCAAACCGGGAGAUAGCUGGUUCUCCCCGAAAGCUAUUUAGGUAGCGCCUCGUGAAUUCAUCUCCGGGGGUAGAGCACUGUUUCGGCAAGGGGGUCAUCCCGACUUACCAACCCGAUGCAAACUGCGAAUACCGGAGAAUGUUAUCACGGGAGACACACGGCGGGUGCUAACGUCCGUCGUGAAGAGGGAAACAACCCAGACCGCCAGCUAAGGUCCCAAAGUCAUGGUUAAGUGGGAAACGAUGUGGGAAGGCCCAGACAGCCAGGAUGUUGGCUUAGAAGCAGCCAUCAUUUAAAGAAAGCGUAAUAGCUCACUGGUCGAGUCGGCCUGCGCGGAAGAUGUAACGGGGCUAAACCAUGCACCGAAGCUGCGGCAGCGACACUAUGUGUUGUUGGGUAGGGGAGCGUUCUGUAAGCCUGUGAAGGUGGCCUGUGAGGGUUGCUGGAGGUAUCAGAAGUGCGAAUGCUGACAUAAGUAACGAUAAAGCGGGUGAAAAGCCCGCUCGCCGGAAGACCAAGGGUUCCUGUCCAACGUUAAUCGGGGCAGGGUGAGUCGACCCCUAAGGCGAGGCCGAAAGGCGUAGUCGAUGGGAAACAGGUUAAUAUUCCUGUACUUGGUGUUACUGCGAAGGGGGGACGGAGAAGGCUAUGUUGGCCGGGCGACGGUUGUCCCGGUUUAAGCGUGUAGGCUGGUUUUCCAGGCAAAUCCGGAAAACCAAGGCUGAGGCGUGAUGACGAGGCACUACGGUGCUGAAGCGACAAAUGCCCUGCUUCCAGGAAAAGCCUCUAAGCAUCAGGUAACAUCAAAUCGUACCCCAAACCGACACAGGUGGUCAGGUAGAGAAUACCAAGGCGCUUGAGAGAACUCGGGUGAAGGAACUAGGCAAAAUGGUGCCGUAACUUCGGGAGAAGGCACGCUGAUAUGUAGGUGAAGCGACUUGCUCGUGGAGCUGAAAUCAGUCGAAGAUACCAGCUGGCUGCAACUGUUUAUUAAAAACACAGCACUGUGCAAACACGAAAGUGGACGUAUACGGUGUGACGCCUGCCCGGUGCCGGAAGGUUAAUUGAUGGGGUUAGCGGUAACGCGAAGCUCUUGAUCGAAGCCCCGGUAAACGGCGGCCGUAACUAUAACGGUCCUAAGGUAGCGAAAUUCCUUGUCGGGUAAGUUCCGACCUGCACGAAUGGCGUAAUGAUGGCCAGGCUGUCUCCACCCGAGACUCAGUGAAAUUGAACUCGCUGUGAAGAUGCAGUGUACCCGCGGCAAGACGGAAAGACCCCGUGAACCUUUACUAUAGCUUGACACUGAACAUUGAGCCUUGAUGUGUAGGAUAGGUGGGAGGCUUUGAAGUGUGGACGCCAGUCUGCAUGGAGCCGACCUUGAAAUACCACCCUUUAAUGUUUGAUGUUCUAACGUUGGCCCGUAAUCCGGGUUGCGGACAGUGUCUGGUGGGUAGUUUGACUGGGGCGGUCUCCUCCUAAAGAGUAACGGAGGAGCACGAAGGUUGGCUAAUCCUGGUCGGACAUCAGGAGGUUAGUGCAAUGGCAUAAGCCAGCUUGACUGCGAGCGUGACGGCGCGAGCAGGUGCGAAAGCAGGUCAUAGUGAUCCGGUGGUUCUGAAUGGAAGGGCCAUCGCUCAACGGAUAAAAGGUACUCCGGGGAUAACAGGCUGAUACCGCCCAAGAGUUCAUAUCGACGGCGGUGUUUGGCACCUCGAUGUCGGCUCAUCACAUCCUGGGGCUGAAGUAGGUCCCAAGGGUAUGGCUGUUCGCCAUUUAAAGUGGUACGCGAGCUGGGUUUAGAACGUCGUGAGACAGUUCGGUCCCUAUCUGCCGUGGGCGCUGGAGAACUGAGGGGGGCUGCUCCUAGUACGAGAGGACCGGAGUGGACGCAUCACUGGUGUUCGGGUUGUCAUGCCAAUGGCACUGCCCGGUAGCUAAAUGCGGAAGAGAUAAGUGCUGAAAGCAUCUAAGCACGAAACUUGC
rnacentral:rRNA from 1 species